AUCUAAAUAAAGCUAGAUUAGAUUUGUGAUUUCGUCAAAUUUGGUUCUUUUGCUUUCUUUUUCUUCUGAUUACGACGAGCUGCUUGGGUUUUAAGGUCCGCAUGCUUGGGGCAUAGAAGGGUUCCCCCUUGAGAUCGUUGUGGAAUGGUUAAGAUCUGAGAUUUUCGCGGUAAAGAUGUUCUUGGAUGAUGCUACUGGUGUGCACAUAUUAGCUGAUGGCCACGAGAACUGAUUAUUUGAUUCUUUGAGGGUGUUCGGGUGUUCAUUCACGAGUGAUGUUAUUGCAGAUGCUACAUUUAGGAUAGAGAUAAGUAGAGCCUAUUCAUGCUCCAUUCUUUUUUUGAAGUAGCUGUACAUAAACUUAUCCUAGACAUCAAGUAUUCUGAAAUAAAUGUGUCAUACUCCUUAACGUCAUCUGUUCUUGAUAUCAUGCUCAUCCUAAACGUCUCUCUUGUGCUAGGUCUUAUUGGCUGCUGGGUUCAAUUGCUGAUGGUUUAGAUCGUCUAAUGCAUUUAUAUCCAAUAUGCAGUAAGAAAGUGUUUAACAGUUGGAAUCUAGACACAUAUUGAAAUUUCGUACCGCACCCGAGUUUCGAGAUUCGCUUGGCACGGUACGAUACUGUAUAUCGAGCGGUAUAUUUGGGUAUAUCUUUCGGUGUAUAUAUAUAUAUAUAUAUAUAUAUAUAUAUAUAUAUAUAUAUAGUAAAAAAAAAUCUUUUUCAGCGACGUUGCCUCUCUUCUCUCGGGCAGGGUGACGUCGCCUCUAUAUAUAUGGGUAUAUAUAUAUAAGUACAAAAAAAAUCUUAUAUAUAUAUAUAUAUAUAUAUCAAGGUUGGCAAUUUCGUACCGUAUUGGAGUUUCGACGUUCGCUCAGGACGGUACAAUAUUGUAUACCGAGCGGUCUACCGAACAGUACAAUAUUAUACAUUGAGCGGUAUACUGAACAGUAUAAUAUUGUAUAUCGAGCAGUAUACCGUUCAGUAUAUAUAUAUAUAUAUAUAUAUAUCGUCCGAUAACGGGCGGUCCGUGUAUCAGCCUGUUGGCGGAUCGGUACGUAUCGCCCGAUACGGGUGGUAUUAUUCGAAAUUGAAGACCUUGAUUGCGACACUACAAAUUGUCAAUGCUACUUACACAAAUUUUUGUGUGCCAUUGCAAUAAUAACAGUGAAGCUCUGACUCAAUAUAUACAUAUGAAUAUAUAUAUUUGACUCAGUAUAUUUUAUCAUCUCAAGAAAAGAGAGAAAAAAAAGAUUGGUUCACGCUUCUUAGGUACUAUUCCUUUUGUUCGUAACCUACAUUGUGUAGGACAGAAGAAUUUCCGGUGCCAUUCCUUUCUCAUAUCUCAGCAUUACAUUGCCUCUUUAUUUUGCUAUUCUGUUUGGAUCAAUCUGCCAUUUUUACCAAAUAAGGUCUUCAGCAAUGUCUUUAAAGCGUCAUGAAGGAGCUGAAGGAUCUUGUCACAGAUCCUUACUGCAGUUGCAGCAUAUGUAUCUAGGCUUCUUUAUGUCUUGUACCCAUUUCCCAAUUAUCUUCUCACAGACCUAUGAGAUUAUGGAUCCUUUUUUAAAUAAACUUUUUGCUUUUGAGGCUUAACUUUUGUGCCAGUCUGUCAUUGAAUCAAAAUGGUGGACAAACAUGAGCUCUCUCCUCUGGUGAAAGGACAGAAUCAAUUGCUGCUGUUAGGUCAUUUCCAGAUUCACAGUUUUCUGCAGACAUAGAUCUUUAUUGUAACCAGAAUUUUCUUGAGAUGAACUUUGUAUUUCAUCUUCCAGUUAAAAGGGGCAUUCCAAGCUUGUAACAGCGAGCCUUUGAUUGUCACUUGUUUUAGCUGGAAAUUUUAUUAUAUUGUUUCUAGUA